rnacentral:rRNA from 1 species
UUCNNAUUGUAAACCUCUUUCAGCAGGGGACGAAGCGAGCAUGACGGUACCUGCNGAAAGAAGGNCCGCCCAACUACGUGCCCAGCAGCCGCGGUAAUACGUANGGUCCCGAGCGUUGUCCGGAAUUACUGGGCGUAAAGCGCACGUAGGCGGACCGGAAAGUUGGAGGUNAAAUCCCAGGGCUCAACCUUGGAACUGCCUUCAAAACUAUCGGUCUGGAGUUCGAGAGAGGUGAGUGGAAUUCCNAGUGUAGAGGUGAAAUUCGUAGAUAUUCNGAGGAACNCCAGUGGCGAAGGCGGGCUCACUGGGCUCGAUACUGACGCUGAGGUGCCGAAAGCGUGGGGGAGCAAACAGGGAUUAGAUACCCUGGUAGNNCCAAGGGGCGAAU